rnacentral:rRNA from 1 species
CUGAGAGAUUGCUCCCACGUCCAAGGACGGCAGCAGGCGCGAAAAUUGCCCACUCUUUGCAGGAGGCAGUUAUGAGACGUGAAGAUGAGUAUCUUGUAAAGAGGGAUAGGAGAAUUGGAGGGCAAGUUUGGUGCCAGCAGCCGCGGUAAUACCGACUCCAAGAGUGUGUAUGAGAGAUGCUGCAGUUAAAAAGUCCGUAGUCAUAGAAGGGCAAAGAGAGAUGCGAGGUCUCACAGUGCGAUGAUGGAGGAGCCGAUGGGGAACAUAGUAUACCAGGGCGAGAGAUGAAAUGCCAAGACCCCUGGUGGACUGAGCGAGGCGAAGGCGAUGUUCUUGUAGGCAUUCGGUGAUCAAGGACGAAGGCUGGAGUAUCGAAAGUGAUUAGAUACCGCAGUAGUUCCAGCAGUAAAAGAUGCCGACAUGCUCAUUGGACACAGUGGGCAGGGAGAAAUCUUAGAGUUCGGGCUCUGGGGAUAGUAUGCUCGCAAGGGUGAAAAUUAAAGAAAUUGACGGAGCUACACCACAAGGAGUGGAUUGUGCGGCUUAAUUUGACUCAACGCGAGGAAACUUACCAGGGCCAAGUAUUGUGUAGAAACGAGCAAUACAGGAGUGGUGCAUGGUCGUUGGAAAUUGAUGGGAUGACUUUGACCUUAAAUGGUUGAAUGAGUGAGAUCUUUUGGACAUGUUCCGCACGGAACAGGAAGGAAAAGGCUAUAACAGAUCCGAGAUGCCCUCAGAUGCCCUGGGCUGCACGCGCAAUACAAUAGCAGGUAGAGAGAGAGACAGGAAGGUGCUCAGAUGGACUAUGUGCUGUAAGGCACAUACGAAAGAGGAAUUCCUAGUAAGUGUGUAUCAACAAUGGAUAUU